rnacentral:rRNA from 1 species
GAUGAACGCUGGCGGCGUGCUUAACACAUGCAAGUCGAGCGAGAAGUUUUGAAAAGAUUCUUCGGAUGAAAUUUAAAAUGGAAAGCGGCGGACGGGUGAGUAACGCGUAGGCAACCUGCCCCAUACAAAGGGAUAGCAUUUGGAAACGAAUAUUAAUACCUUAUGAAACUUAACUAGUGCAUGCUAGGUAGGUCAAAGAUUUAUCGGUAUGGGAUGGGCCUGCGUCUGAUUAGCUAGUUGGUGAGGUAACGGCUCACCAAGGCGACGAUCAGUAGCCGACCUGAGAGGGUGAACGGCCACAUUGGAACUGAGACACGGUCCAAACUCCUACGGGAGGCAGCAGUGGGGAAUAUUGCACAAUGGGGGAAACCCUGAUGCAGCGACGCCGCGUGAACGAUGAAGGCCUUUGGGUCGUAAAGUUCUGUUCUAGGUGAUGAAAACUGACAGUAACCUAGGAGAAAGCCCCGGCUAACUCCGUG